CUUGGUUACUGUGGACAAGUUAGGAACAGCUCAAAUGUGAAAGGGAACACAAAGCAAAUAGAGGACAGAGGAGACCUGCUAAGUGAGGCAGUGGGAACAGCUGAUCCCUGCAGAACCACCUUGGACCUGAUCCAGAUAAGGACGCCACUGUAAUCAGGCCUCAGAGCCCUUCACCACCUCUUGCAUGGUGACCUGCUGAUAUGAAGAUGCUGGAUGUCAUCACCGAAGUCUGUAAUGUGUGCCUUUCU